rnacentral:rRNA from 1 species
CGAUACUGGGACGUAAAGGGCAGUCGUAGCCGGCAUUGUUUCAAGUCAGGUGUGAAAUCCCGGGGCUCAACCUCUGAACUGCCUUUCAAACUGGUGUGCUUGAGUACGGGAGAGGUAGGUGGAAUUCCCAGUGUAACGGUGAAAUUCGUAGAUAUUACGAAAGAACCCGAUUGGCGAAAGGCGACUUCCUGGAGCGUUACUGACGCUGAAGCACGAAAGCGUGGGGAGCAAACAGGAUUAGAUACCCUGGUAGUCCACGCCGUAAACGAUGGAUGCCCGUUUUUGGGUUG